rnacentral:rRNA from 1 species
ACGGAGGAUCCGAGCGUUAUCCGGAUUUAUUGGGUUUAAAGGGUGCGUAGGUGGCCUGUUAAGUCAGGGGUGAAAGACGGUAGCUCAACUAUCGCAGUGCCCUUGAUACUGAUGGGCUUGAAUGAACUAGAGGUAGGCGGAAUGUGACAAGUAGCGGUGAAAUGCAUAGAUAUCAAGAGGAACACCUGCGGCGAAGGCGGGUUGCUGGGCCGACACUGACGCUGAGGCGCGAAAGCUAGGGGAGCGAACGGGA